UCUAAAGGUAGACAUGUGCUUGACUUAGUGAUGUAUGUGUUGUACAUGAUCUGGUAUGUAUCUAUGUUUUUCUGUAUGUGAAAAACCAGGCUUAACAGGUAUGAGUUAACCCAUCUAGAGCAAGCUCUAGUCAGGAGUACAGAGUACAGAGUACAGAGUACAGAGUACAGAGUACAGAGAUAGUGCAUGCACAGGUUAAGCCUUGGUUCAGUGAAGAGUUUUUAUUUUCACAGAAAAUGUAUGAUCAUGUAUGAGUUCUACAGGUACACAGAGAGUAUAGCAGGCUUGCUACGGGUUCUGGCGGCCUUAAGCCGACCUGAAUCCUAGCGCCGGUGACGGUCCAUUUUGGGGUC
rnacentral:lncRNA from 1 species